rnacentral:rRNA from 1 species
GAUGAACGCUGACAGAAUGCUUAACACAUGCAAGUCAACUGGAAUUUGGGUUUUUAACUUAGGUUUGGGUGGCGGACGGGUGAGUAACGCGUAAAGAACUUGCCUCACAGCUAGGGACAACAUUUGGAAACGAAUGCUAAUACCUAAUAUUAUGAUAAUAGGGCAUCCUAUAAUUAUGAAAGCUAUAAGCGCUGUGAGAGAGCUUUGCGUCCCAUUAGCUAGUUGGAGAGGUAACGGCUCACCAAGGCGGUGAUGGGUAGCCGGCCUGAGAGGGUGAUCGGCCACAGGGAGACUGAGACGCGGCCCUUACUCCUACGGGAGGCAGCAGUGGAGAAUAGUGGACAAUGGACCAAGAGUCUGAUCCAGCAAUUCUGUGUGCACGAUGAAGUUUUGCGGAAUGUAAAGUGCUUUCAGUUGGGAAGAAAGAAAUGACGGUACCAACAGAAGAAGUGACGCCUAAAUACUA